rnacentral:misc_RNA from 1 species
AUGGCCGGCCACGUGUUGGUGAGGGCAUUGAGUGGUGGCCGGCUGGUGAGGAGUGCAUGCAGGAGGUGGGGGGAGCUCAGUGCCAAUAAUGAGGUGAAGUGUUUGCCAUUCAGAAGUUACUCUUUACUAGAUGAAGGGAGUCAAACUAACCAUGGCGUAGGUGGAAGUGAGUUUGUUGCACCCCGAAGUGACCCUGCCGAUGCCUCCACGCCUCGGCAUAUCCCUGUCAUGGCAGAGGAGGUGCUGGAGUUCCUGGCACCACGGGACGGCAGUGUCAUCCUGGACAUGACCUUCGGGGGCGGCGGUCACUCCCGGCGGCUGCUGGCGGCCAAUCCCGGGGUGCGGCUGGUGUGCCUGGACCGGGACCCCCUCGCCCACCGCCUGGCCCUCGCCCUGCAGGAGGAACACCCCAGGCGGGUCUUGCCUCUGCUUGGGAGGUUCAGUGAGCUGCCAACACUGCUGACAAGACUCAAGAUAAAGCGAGGGUAUUUUGACGGGGUGCUGAUGGACCUUGGUGUGUCAUCCAUGCAGUUUGGCACGGCAGAGCGUGGCUUCAUGCUGAGCCAGGAUGGCCCCUUGGACAUGCGCAUGGAUGGAGGCAGGCAGCCUGAGCAGAUCACAGCAGCAGACGUGUUGGCCCACAUCGAUGAGAACUCCCUGUACAAGGUGCUCAAGUUCUACGGGGAGGAGAAGAAUGCUCGCCUGCUGUCCCGGGGGCUGGUGGAGUCCCGCCACAUGUUCCAGCGCCUGGACACCACCCGGGGCUUGGCCACCCUGGUGUCCUCCUUGCUGGACGACACAACACGCACUGACAAGCUGGGCCGCCAUGCCCACCCAGCCACCAAGACCUUCCAGGCUCUCAGAAUUUUGGUGAACAACGAACUCAAUGAGCUGGACUAUGCCAUGCGCCUUGCCCAGUACUACCUGCGGCCCCAGGGAGUGCUGGUGGCCAUAUCCUUCCAUUCCUUGGAGGACACCAUCGUCAAGCGUCAUCUGCAAGGCGUUGACAUGGACCACACCCCGGCCACCAUCGGCUUGGGAGUGGCCAAGCACCGCACAGCCCUCUCCACUUACACCAAGGCUGAGAUAGACAGCAUCACCGCCAAGGCAUGGAAGCAACUCACCAAGCAUGUGGUCCUUCCCUCUGACGAAGAAGUGGCCAGCAACCCAAGAGCCAGGUCUGCUAAGCUGCGGCCUGCCCUCCGCCUGUAGCUGUGACGUGCUGGCUGCAGUAGAGAGUCUUGGAAAACUUAGGGAACAGGAGCAAGACACAACAGAGGUUAAGAAAUAGGACAGAGUGACUCAGGAUGUAAAUAACAGUAACUAGAACUGUGUGGGGGAGCUGGGAGUGGGUGGAACAAGAGUAAUUGCUGGCAGGGAAGAGUGGGAUGUUGCAGCCAGAGGUGUGUGUGUGUGUGUGUGUGUGUGUGUGUGUGUGUGUGUGUGUGUGUGUGUGUGUGUGUGUGUGUGUGUGUGUGUGUGUGUGUUUU